CCUACGGGAGGCAGCAGUGAGGAAUAUUGGUCAAUGGCCGGAAGGCUGAACCAGCCAAGUCGCGUGAGGGAAUAAGGCCCUCUGGGUCGUAAACCUCUUUUGUCAGGGAGCAAACGCGUCCACGAGUGGACGAAAGGAGAGUCCCUGAAGGAAAAGCAUCGACUAACUCCGUGCCAGCAGCCGGGGUCAUACGGAGGAUGCGAGCAUUAUCCGGAUUUACUGGGUUUAAGGGGUGCGUAGGCGGAGUGUCAAGUCAGCGGUAAAAUUUCGGGGCUAAACCCCGUCGUGCCGUUGAAACUGACACGCUUGAGUGAGUGAGAAGUAAGGGGAAUGCGUGGUGUAGCGGUGAAAUGCAUAGAGAUCACGCAGAACGCCGAUGGCGAAGGCAGCUUUCCGGCGAUCAACUGACGCUGAGGUACGAAAGUGCGGGUAUCGAACAGGAUUAGAUACCCUAGUAGUC
rnacentral:rRNA from 1 species